rnacentral:rRNA from 1 species
UGAUGCAGCACGCCGCGUGGGGGAUGACGGCCUUCGGGUUGUAAACCUCUUUUAGCAGGGAAGAAGCGUGAGUGACGGUACCUGCAGAAAAAGCGCCGGCUAACUACGUGCCAGCAGCCGCGGUAAUACGUAGGGCGCAAGCGUUAUCCGGAAUUAUUGGGCGUAAAGAGCUCGUAGGCGGUUUGUCGCGUCUGCUGUGAAAUCCCGAGGCUCAACUUCGGGUCUGCAGUGGGUACGGGCAGACUAGAGUGCGGUAGGGGAGAUUGGAAUUCCUGGUGUAGCGGUGGAAUGCGCAGAUAUCAGGAGGAACACCGAUGGCGAAGGCAGAUCUCUGGGCCGUAACUGACGCUGAGGAGCGAAAGGGUGGGGAGCAAACAGGCUUAGAUACCCUGGUAGUCCACCCCGUAAACGUUGGGAACUAGUUGUGGGGUCCUUUCCACGGAUUCCGUGACGCAGCUAACGCAUUAAGUUCCCCGCCUGGGGAGUACGGCCGCAAGGCUAAAAC